AAGUCGUAACAAGGUCUCCGUUGGUGAACCAGCGGAGGGAUCAUUACGAGAGUGUCACCACUCCCAACCCAUUGUUUACCUACCCGUCCACCGUGCUUCGGCAGGCAGCCCUGUGGGACAGAGCCUCGCCCCCUUCGCGGGGGGUGCCUGCCGCUGGCCAACCAAAAAAUCUAGCCGUUUUAGUACCAUCUGAGUCUUCCACAAAUGAACAAAACUUUCAACAACGGAUCUCUUGGUUCUG
rnacentral:misc_RNA from 1 species